UCGGGUUUGGCCGGCCGAUGGAGGAAGCGCAACGCGAAAGACCGUCAACACAGACGCUGACAAACACUGAACACAGCAUGAAUACUGAUGGGGAUGGAAAUGGAGUGGAUAUGUUUGCGUGUAUGAAGACCAGCGUGCUAAUGGCGUUGCGUGUGCACCCACACCGCCCCAGCAGAGAAUGGAGGAUGAGGCUUUUUCGUGCUGAUGGCCUGCACCCCAGC